rnacentral:tRNA from 1 species
UCUAAUAUGGCAGACUAGUGCAAUGAAUUUAAGAUUCAUUUAUGAAUUUUUUUUUGUUAGAA